CGUAGGCGGUUGUGUAAGUCAGAUGUGAAAUCCUCCGGCUCAACUGGAGAACUGCAUUUGAUACUGCAUGACUCGAGUAUUGGAGAGGGAAACGGAAUUCCCGGUGUAGAGGUGAAAUUCGUAGAUAUCGGGAGGAACACCGGUGGCGAAGGCGGUUUCCUGGCCAAAUACUGACGCUGAGGCGCGAAAGCGUGGGUAGCAAACAGGAUUAGAUACCCUGGUAGUCCACGUCGUAAACGGUGAGUGCUGGGUGUGGGAGGUGUAAUGCCUUCUGUGCCGAAGCUAACGCGUUAAGCACUCCGCCUGGGGAGUACGGCCGCAAGGUUGAA
rnacentral:rRNA from 1 species